rfam:Aedes aegypti strain Liverpool supercont1.325 genomic scaffold, whole genome shotgun sequence.
UGCCCAGCAACUCCUAUCCCUACCUCCUCGUGGUACUGGCCGGGGUACGAGUAACCUUGGGGAAGAUCGGGUAACCAACCCCCGGUGGGAACUUUGGUCGUAUGCUGACAGGGAAGG